rnacentral:misc_RNA from 1 species
GAACUGCGAUAAGUAAUGUGAAUUGCAGAAUUCAGUGAAUCAUUGAGUCUUUGAACGCACAUUGCGCCCCCUGGCAUUCCGGGGGGCAUGCCUGUCCGAGCGUCAUUGCUGCCCUUCAAGCCCGGCUUGUGUGUUGGGUCGUCGUCCCCUCCGGGGGACGGGCCCGAAAGGCAGCGGCGGCACCGCGUCCGGUCCUCGAGCGUAUGGGGCUUUGUCACCCGCUCGAUAAGGACCGGCCGGGCGCCAGCCGGCGUCUCCAACCUUUUUUUCUCAGGUUGACCUCGGAUCAGGUAGGGAUACCCGCUGAACUUAAGC